UAAGGAAUAUUGGUCAAUGGACGCAAGUCUGAACCAGCCAUGCCGCGUGGAGGAUGAAGGUCCUCUGGAUUGUAAACUUCUUUUAUCUGGGAAGAAAUGAUUUUUUUCUAAAGGUCUUGACGGUACCAGAUGAAUAAGCACCGGCUAACUCCGUGCCAGCAGCCGCGGUAAUACGGAGGGUGCAAGCGUUAUCCGGAUUCACUGGGUUUAAAGGGUGCGUAGGUGGACUUGUAAGUCCGUUGUGAAAUCUCCGAGCUUAACUCGGAAAUUGCGGUGGAUACUAUAAGUCUUGAAUACUGUGGAGGUUAGCGGAAUAUGUCAUGUAGCGGUGAAAUGCAUAGAUAUGACAUAGAACACCAAUUGCGAAGGCAGCUGGCUACACAGAUAUUGACACUGAGGCACGAAAGCGUGGGGAUCAAACA
rnacentral:rRNA from 1 species